rnacentral:lncRNA from 1 species
AACUGCAGUCUCGGGCAGUGAAGAGGAGACUGCGAAUGAUCUCCUUUGCAAUUGUGACUUCGCAUCUAAUCAAGAAAUGAAAUGAGACAAAUAAACACAGCUUUUCCUUUACAAUUUAGAGGUAUCUAUCUACAAUAGCGUUGCAACUUGUAACUGCAAUUUCGGCUCUAUUUGCGUGUAUUUUGUCAUAAUAUCAAGGUUUGCAGUAUAACUGCAACUAAAAUUUAGAACUAUGAUUCUGAGGUAACAAGAAUANNNNNNNNNNNNNNNNNNNNNNNNNNNNNNNNGAAAAGAAAAGUUACAGAAACUACAUCUGAGAUGGAAACACCAGAUUUUUUCAAUAUAGUUAAUACCUAAAAGGCUAAAACUACUAAAUCUUUGGCAUUCAUCAAUAUUCUGGAAAUUUACUUGACAACAUUCAGAUCAAUUUAAUUAUACAACCACUAAAUAAAACUUCUCUACAAUUCCAGGUUUUCACCUACACCUAUGAAGUCCCGAUGUCAGACGGUGUCUGACAUUGACACAACACCUAAACAUGAUUAUGCUGAAUUAUGUUAUUUUCUCAAGUCGGUGACACGGUGUCAAGGUGUCGUGUCCAGUGUCUGUGUCCAUCCGUGCUUCAUAGCUAGCAACUCUAGUUGACAAGCGUGUGUUCGAUUUACAGUGAAUUUAGCAUAAUCACAUUAUCCACCAUAAUUUUGACAAAAGAUAGUACACUUUAUAGCUUCAACAAAAUCAUGAUGUCAGUAUAAUUUCGCCUACUCACUACUCACUAGCUAUACAAACUUGCACAUAACCAAAAUACAUAAUAACUGAGAGCUACUACACCAUAAAGAAACCACACAAUAGUGAUAAGAAGACUCAUUGGAGAACCCAUGUUUCAGUAUCAUUAAUUAUAGUGACUUAAUUUUCAAUUUUCUUUGAAAUAACUCUUAACACCAAUACCAAUCCUAAUCUUCAAUAAACAGCAAUGAAUAAGCACGGUGGCUCUACCAAACUAAAGAACCAUUCAGUAAAAAUCACAUUGCAUACACACCAAAAUCAACUACUAGCUUUAUGAAAGUUAGUAAAUAAAUAAGUGCAAGUAUAAUAAAGAGUUAUUGGUUAGGAAAAAAAUUAAAAUCUCACUAUGAGGGAAGCAGCAAAGUGGUACAGGGCGCUGCACAACUGCAUCCAUUUAGAUAAACUGUCUUGUUCGGUUGUUCUGUUUCUCCACCAACUGGUACCCUUUUUUUUUGCUUCCUUAUCCUUUAAAAUUGUUGUAAAUUUAUUGUUGGCAGCUAAAUAAAUAUAGAAAAUUGAGGAAAAGUAAAUAAUAGAGAGCAUAGUGUCAAAAAUGUGGGUUUUUUUUUUUCUCUAAUUAUUUCACUAGAUAUAAUCUUAUUUAAAAUAUGUCAGAUAUUAACUAUGUGUUUGUUUUUUUUUUUUUGACGCAAAGAAAACUUAUGUCAUUUCAUUCAUAAUAAUAGUAGCAAUACAAUGAGGGAUUACAUUAAAAGUACUGCGAUAAGCAUGAGAUAAACCUGCUCGUGCGAGUGCAUGAGCGCUACCGUUUGCUUGACACCUAGUAAAAACGACUAUGAAGUCAUUAUAGUGAUGAAGUAAGGUUCGACAAUUUUGAAUGAUUGAACCAUACUCCGAUUGAACUAUGUGUUUGUUUUAAGAGAAAGAAAAUGUGAAGAGACAAAAAUACGAAAACUAAUGAAUGAAGACUAAAUUCAUUCAUUGAUUUCCGUGUUUUUAUCUCUUCCUCUUUCUUUCUCUCAAACUAAAUACACCAUUAAUGUGGCUGUCAUCUCUUCUCGGCUCGAAUUCAAAUUCUAAUAUUAAAUAAAAUAGUAAAACAUAUUUUAAAGCAUCUUUAAAAUUGUUUAUAAAAUUAAAUCUAUAAAAAUAAGUGUUUGUUUAAUAUAUGACUUUUCAAAAAGUGGACUUUUGCUAUUUUUAAUAAAAAAUAAAUUUUAUAAUAAUCGAAAUGGAGAACAAAAAUAAUGUUUUAUUGAAAUUUUCUCAAAGCAAUAAGGUUCAAUGUUGAACCGAGUUCAUAUUAUAAAACACCAAUAAUUUGUUUUUUAACACCAACAAACUUAAGUCAUUUCAUUAAUCAAUUGAUUCUUAAUAUAAGGAUGAAUCGAAUAGAGAAUACAACGACUAGCCCAAGAAUCGGUCACCCUUGAUAACUUAUGAGUAACCGAAUUCGCUUGGCGUUUGAUAAACUGUACGUCAUAGUUAGAAUUUAAUAGUAACAGGUUUUUUACGCUAGUAAUAAGAGCACUAAACAUUGAAACACCAGCAUAACUUGUCUGCAAUGCUCUCACAACAGUUUGUGAAUCACUUUCGAAAAUUAAAGAGCUCCAAGUCCUUGAUCCCCAAACCACCCAUAUUUUUCAGUAAGCACACUUGCUUCCAGCUAACCCAACAUAAUUUCUUAUCCUUCAAACCUCCUCCCCAAAGAAAAUUUCGUUAAAUCUAAAUCAAUUGUUUAAUAAUGCAAUUAGGAGCUUUACAGAAAGAGAAAAAAUAUAGCGGGAGACUAGCAAGAACAAAAUUUAUAAGCGAAACUCUAUCUAUAAUAGAUAGGUGCCUCCCACUCCGGCUACACAGUCUUUGAAACAUAGCUUCCACUACCGGUUUACUCAGGUGAAAAACUAAACCUAGUGACUUACUAAUAGUUAAACUUAAAAUAUAAAAUAGUGCAAAAUAAAUAUAAUUGGAACAAGAAAUAAACGAAAAUAACAAAUACAGCUUAAUUGGAAAAAAAAUAGUUGAUUUUUCACUAAAACAAGUGAAGAACCAUCGUUUUCAGGAGGGUAAAGGGUGCUAGCCACCACUUUCGAACCCUCAACCACCAUAACAUAUAGCAAAGAAACAAAAGGUCCAAUAUUUUCAUCAAACGAAAAACAAAACAGAAAUAGAGACCAUGCCAGUUUAAAGAAGAGGAGAGACGUUGAUGAUGACAAAAACAGGAUUCAAAACGGCAACGAAGAAUCAAACUCCAAACAAACAACACUCCCAUAUCAAAAAGGUUGAAGAAACAUGGAAAAGUUGGAAAACUCGAAAAUUUGAGAAGUUGAGAAGAUGGAGAAUUUGAGAAAGUGAACAAAUGAUUUUAAAAUAUCCCUCCAUUUUCCUAUUUAUAAAAGAAUUCUAAGCAGACGUGACUAUGAGGAAUGAGACGGUGCCUCUCCCAUUUGAACCGUUGUUUUGAUUCAAAUGCCCAAAUUGAAAAGAUCCAACGCUCCUGAUUCCAUCAACGGCCAAUCAAAAUGGCGCUUCGGUCUAUCAGUCCAAAGUUGUCCUUGUGAUAUUGGAAAGCUUGAAGUGUAACCACUUGAGUGCGUCAGAAUAGGCUUUACGCUUGGUGGCAGGAGACGAAACAGCUUGUCCCCUCAAGUCACAUCUCUUCGAUCGCGCGUAUCUCGCCAAAUCCAAGACCACUCACUUCGAAAUAUCCCCACCUUAACAAAGUAAAUUGUGGUCCUCGACGAUAUUUGUGGACUCACAAUAAAUGUUCAUAAAACUCACCAUCCUUAAAUUGCUAAUUUAUGCUCGCCAUAAAUACAAAGAAAGUAUGUCCUCGAGCAUACUCCUCGCAAACGUGACUAGCAUGAGUUAGUCUAACGAGAAUUAUUUCGGAAAAACAUUUCCCCAAAAAACCUCUACGGACAGGGAGCAAUGCAGGUUAGUUCGAUAGAUGAUGAUCUCGGCAUAAUUCUCAAACAUGAACAUUGGCUAUCUCGACAUUUCCAGCAAUCACAAACUUCAAGUCAUCAUGCUCAUGUUCGAACAUGACGACUUGGGGGGCUACUGUUCUGGACUAGGCCUUCGGCCUAAUAACCGAUGAAAACCCCUUUAAUCAACCAUAUCGAGUUAAAACCUUGCUUCAUCUCUUACUGACUUGAGUGUCGGAGUAAUUGUAGGUACAAAAAACCCCUCCCAUUCACCAGAACAUAAGAGGAGCGCCACCGGACAAAGAUCGACUCUGAUCAAGGGAAGAUAAUUUCUCUUAACACUUAUUUUCAUGCAUGUAAACAUUGUAAUUGUUCUCAUAUGAAUAGGAAGUUCAUAGUAUAUUUGGACAUUUAAGCAUUAGUAAUCAAGUGAUUGAUUGAGUUUUCUAAUCUAAUUAAAUUUAAUAAUAUACCUAAUUACACACCAUAUUAUUAUGGCUUAAUUACUUAAUUGGUCCCUUAAAGACAUUUAUGGUUUCAAAUUGGUCCCUUAAAGAAAAAAGGUCCAAAUUGGUCCCUUAAAGACCUUGCCGUUAAACAUUUUGGUCAUUUCCGUCCAGAAACUGUUAAUUUUUACAGGUGGCAAACNNNNNNNNNNNNNNNNNNNNNNNNNNNNNNNNNNNNNNNNNNNNNNNNNNNNNNNNGGAUGCUUACGUGGCUGCUCACAUGGGUGCUUACAUGGCUGCUUACUAGGUAAAUCAUUUAAUUUUAAAAUAAAAACUUAAAGUUAAAAUUUAAAAUAAAAAAAAAUGGCAAAUUAAAAAACAAAAGAGAUAAAACAGAAAACUCAGAAAGGAAAAAAAAGAAAGAGCUUGCGCCGUCCAUCCCAGCGCCGCCUGUAUGAUGGUAUUGUUCUCUGUUUCACUUGAAUUGGGGCAAACCACAACAAAUUGAAAUAAAUUUGACAACAACCAUAGAAUCAAACUAAGCAAAUAAAAGCCAACUAUUGUGGCCUAACAAAAUUAAAUUUCCCAGAAGAAGUGUUAUAAGCUUAGCAAUUACAUCCUUUAACUUCAUAUUCAUCUUUCUAUCAAUUCUUUUUUGUUCUUUCACACAUUCAACAUCGAGAUUAUGAAUUCUUCCAUGUUUUCUUCACACCCAUCUUUUAUGAAUUAUUUUAUGCCUAAAAUCAACAUCGCUGCUUAGAAAACAAAUAGACAAAGGGUAAGCUUCGCCGGAAAACUUCUGUCUGUCGUAGAUCUGAUGUGGUCGCGGUUCCACGAGCUAGCCACCACCUUUUGUUUCAGAUCUCACNN